GUUUGGAAUAAAUUAUCAGAUCUAGCUAAAGAUAGUCAAGAGUUGUGGAAAUACAAUAAACCAAGCCAUCAAAUGGAUACAGCAUAAUGUG
rnacentral:lncRNA from 1 species